GGGGGAUUAGCUCAAAUGGAAGAGCGCGCGCUUUGCAUGCGCGAGGUAGCGGGAUCGAAGCCCGCAUCCUCCA
rnacentral:tRNA from 1 species